rnacentral:rRNA from 1 species
CUACGAAGGGGGCUAGCGUUGUUCGGAAUUACUGGGCGUAAAGCGCGCGCAGGCGGAUUGGUCAGUUAGGGGUGAAAUCCCAGGGCUUAACCCUGGAACUGCCUCUAAUACUGCCAGUCUUGAGUUCGGGAGAGGUGAGUGGAAUUCCUAGUGUAGAGGUGAAAUUCGUAGAUAUUAGGAAGAACACCAGUGGCGAAGGCGGCUCACUGGCCCGAUACUGACGCUGAGGCGCGAAAGCGUGGGGAGCAAACAGGAUUAGAUACCCUAGUAGUCC